rnacentral:rRNA from 1 species
CCUACGGGAGGCAGCAGUAAGGAAUAUUGGACAAUGGGCGCAAGCCUGAUCCAGCCAUGCCGCGUGAAGGAUUAAGGUCCUCUGGAUUGUAAACUUCUUUUAUAGGGGACGAAAAAAGGGCAUUCUUGUUCACUUGACGGUACCCUAUGAAUAAGCACCGGCUAACUCCGUGCCAGCAGCCGCGGUAAUACGGAGGGUGCAAGCGUUAUCCGGAUUCACUGGGUUUAAAGGGUGCGUAGGCGGGCAGGUAAGUCAGUGGUGAAAUCCUAGAGCUUAACUCUAGAACUGCCAUUGAUACUAUCUGUCUUGAAUAUUGUGGAGGUAAGCGGAAUAGGUCAUGUAGCGGUGAAAUGCUUAGAUAUGACAUAGAACACCUAUUGCGAAGGCAGCUUACUACGCAUAUAUUGACGCUGAGGCACGAAAGCGUGGGGAUCAAACAGGAUUAGAUACCCUGGUAGUCCACGCCCUAAACGAUGAAUACUCGACAUACGCGAUACACUGUGUGUGUCUGAGNGAGANAUAGUAUCCUACCGUGGUUAGUUAGUCGCGAGAGAGAGACAAGUUAGUUAGUUAGUUACGGCGNGAGACGNGCCGACGGACGACGACGAGGGAGGUAGGAG